rnacentral:rRNA from 1 species
CCUACGGGAGGCAGCAGUGAGGAAUAUUGGACAAUGGGCGCAAGCCUGAUCCAGCCAUGCCGCGUGCAGGGAGAAGCAUCUAUGGUGUGUAAACUGCUUUUGUACAGGAAGAAACACUCCCUCGUGAGGGAGCUUGACGGUACUGUAAGAAUAAGGAUCGGCUAACUCCGUGCCAGCAGCCGCGGUAAUACGGAGGAUCCAAGCGUUAUCCGGAAUCAUUGGGUUUAAAGGGUCCGUAGGCGGUUUGGUAAGUCAGUGGUGAAAGCCCAUCGCUCAACGGUGGAACGGCCAUUGAUACUGCUAGACUUGAAUUAUUGUGAAGUAACUAGAAUAUGUAGUGUAGCGGUGAAAUGCUUAGAGAUUACAUGGAAUACCAAUUGCGAAGGCAGGUUACUAACAAUAUAUUGACGCUGAUGGACGAAAGCGUGGGGAGCGAACAGGAUUAGAUACCCUGGUAGUCCACGCCGUAAACGAUGGAUACUAGNUGUGGUAGUAUACUCAGUGCGUAGAGAAGUAGAGUAAGUAUACCACCGUCGGGUAGGUACGUUCGCGAGAAGUAGAACGUACGAAAGUAGUAAGUUAGUACGGACGUAGAGACGUUACGGACCGACGGACGACCGACGGAGGGGAGGGUAGGGAG